rnacentral:rRNA from 1 species
GCCUGGCCGUAAAUCUUGAUACUCGAUAUUACCUGAGUGUCCGCCCGAGAACUACGAGCACAAACGCUUAAAACUCUAAGGACUUGGCGGUGCCCCAAACCCACCUAGAGGAGCCUGUUCUGUAAUCGAUGAUCCACGAUAUUACCUGACCAUUUCUCGCCCAAAAUCAGCCUAUAUACCGCCGUCGCCAGCUCACCUUUCCUGACGGUCCAACAGUGAGCGCAAUAGCCCCACACGCUAACAAGACAGGUCAAGGUAUAGCCUAUGGAAUGGAAGCAAUGGGCUACAUUUUCUAGAAUAGAACAUACGGCAAAGGGAUAUGAAACUGUCUCUGGAAGGCGGAUUUAGCAGUAAAGUGGGACAAUCGAGCCCUCUUUAAGCCGGCCCUGGGGCACGU